rnacentral:rRNA from 1 species
UACGUAGGGUGCGAGCGUUGUCCGGAAUUAUUGGGCGUAAAGAGCUUGUAGGCGGUUUGUCGCGUCUGCUGUGAAAAUCCGGGGCUCAACCCCGGACUUGCAGUGGGUACGGGCAGACUAGAGUGUGGUAGGGGAGACUGGAAUUCCUGGUGUAGCGGUGAAAUGCGCAGAUAUCAGGAGGAACACCGAUGGCGAAGGCGCCGCUCUGGGCCGUGACUGACGCUGAGGAACGAAAGCGUGGGUAGCAAACAGG